GCGGCUGCGACUCGCAGCCUAACCCAGAGGCUAACUCGGCCCGAUUGCACCUCUGGUGCUCUGCUAUCUCUGGUCCUGGAAGAGACAAGGAUCCUAACCUGGCGUGGGUUUCUCCAUUUGACCAGGUUCUGAGGCUUGGAGAAGAGAUCCUCUCCAGAGAUUAUCCAGAUGGGUCUCAUGUAACCAAGUUGGCCUCGCACUCUCUCUAGCCGAUGAUGACCUUGGACUUCUGUCCUGUUUCCAUGUCUAGUGCUCAGGUUACGGGUAUAUAGCACUACACCUGUUUUUUCCCCCCCUUUACUAUUGUUCUUUUUACAAUUUAUUUGUAUUUAUUUUAAAAAUAAAAAUGUAUGUGUUUGUUUGAUAGGGA